CAAUAGCGUAUAUUAAAGUUGUUGCGGUUAAAAGCUCGUAGUUGGAUUUCUGUUGGGAACGACCGGUCCGCCCAUUGGGUGUGCAUCUGGCUUGUUCUCGGCAUCUUCUUGGUGAACGUUGCUGCACUUGACUGUGUGGAGCGCUACCCAGGACUUUUACUUUGAGGAAAUUAGAGUGUUUCAAGCAGGCAUAUGCCUUGAAUACAUUAGCAUGGAAUAAUAAGAUAGGACCUCGGUUCUAUUUUGUUGGUUUCUAGUACUGAAGUAAUGAUUGAUAGGGAUAGUUGGGGGUGGCUAGUAUUGGCCGGCCAGAGGUGAAAUUCUUGGAUUCGGUCAAGACUAACUUAUGCGAAAGCAUUCACCAAGGAUGUCUUCUUUAAUCAAGAACGAAAGUUGGGGGAUCGAAGACGAUCAGAUACCAU
rnacentral:rRNA from 1 species